GGGUUGUGAGGUUAAGCGACUAAGCGUACACGGUGGAUGCCCUGGCAGUCAGAGGCGAUGAAGGGCGUGCUAAUCUGCGAUAAGCGUCGGCGAGGUGAUAUGAACCUUUGACCCGGCGAUACCCGAAUGGGGAAACCCAGUGUGUUCCGACACACUAUCAUGUCAUGAAUACAUAGUGGCAUGAGGCGAACCGGGGGAACUGAAACAUCUAAGUACCCCGAGGAAAAGAAAUCAACCGAGAUUCCCCCAGUAGCGGCGAGCGAACGGGGAGGAGCCCAGAGUCUGAAUCAGCGCGUGUGUUAGUGGAAGCGUCUGGAAAGUCGCACGAUACAGGGUGAAAGUCCCGUACACAAAAAUGCACACGUUGUGAACUCGAAGAGUAGGGCGGGACACGUGGUAUCCUGUCUGAAUAUGGGGGGACCAUCCUCCAAGGCUAAAUACUCCUGACUGACCGAUAGUGAACCAGUACCGUGAGGGAAAGGCGAAAAGAACCCCGGCGAGGGGAGUGAAAAAGAACCUGAAACCGUGUACGUACAAGCAGUGGGAGCCUCUUUUAUGGGGUGACUGCGUACCUUUUGUAUAAUGGGUCAGCGACUUAUAUUCUGUAGCAAGGUUAACCGUAUAGGGGAGCCGAAGGGAAACCGAGUCUUAACUGGGCGUUAAGUUGCAGGGUAUAGACCCGAAACCCGGUGAUCUAGCCAUGGGCAGGUUGAAGGUUGGGUAACACUAACUGGAGGAC
rnacentral:rRNA from 1 species